AGAGCCAGGGUCCACAGGGUGUUUCUUCGCGUCGCACAAAGAGAGAGAGAGAGAGAGAGGGGUGAUAUUCAAGACUGAGCAGACAGAUACACAGAGAGAAGUGGGAGAGGGAUCUGUGUUUUGAUUACAGCCCCAAAUUUCUGAAGAUCAUCUUUCAGAUUUUGCAGGUAUGACAAAUCAAAAUGGAUGUGGGCUGACAGCAGAGGGGUCUUUAUUUUGAGAGGUUGAAACUGAAUAUGAUGAACAACCGGCAGGUGGUAAGGUGGAAGAAUGGGAAGAUACAAUUCAAGACAGUGAACAUGUUCAAGAUCAGCUGCCUGUUAUUGAUCUUAACUAUUUGAGCAUAGUGGAAGGACUGGUGGAUUUGAGUCCUGAAAAGCUAAAGAAGGUAGUGGUGAUAUUAGGUGUUUGAAGACAAGUAAGUUAAUUGCUACUUAUAAAAGCUCAAAGUCAGUAAGGUGUUUGAAAGUUAUGAGAUAAUUGAUUCCCUUGGACCAGAGGGUAUUCUUUACGAUGCAAAUGUUCCGGGUGAAGGGGAGCAGAAGGUUAUGUCGUACAUUCGUCUUCAAAGAAAUCUUCUUGGGGAUCAGGGAGUAGUGGGAAGUUUGAAAUGCAAUUAGCUCCAUUGGUUUAUGGUUGUGUCCUGAAUUAUUUCUGAAUCUUUGGUAGAAUCAGAGAAGCGUUGGAACAUAUUCGCAAGCUCAAGAAUAAAGAGGUUAUGCUUCUUCCCGGGUAUUUUGAGACUUUGGUGAAAGGACUGUGCAGGGCUAAUAGAUUUGCAGAUGCUUUGGAGAUUUUGGAUAUUACGAAGAAAAGAGAUUUUGUUGAUAAGAAUGUUUACUGGAUUAUUACUUGAGAAAGAAUGAUGUUUCUAGAGUUGAUCUGUUUUUAUAGUAUGAAAGAAUCUGGAUAUUUGCCUACUGCUUCUACCUACACCAAACUGACGUAGCAGCUCUUCAAUGUAAAUGAGUAUCAAAAAGGCUGUGACAUGUAUGAUGUCAUACUUGAAAGAGGAGUGUAAUAUAAUGCCAGCUCCAAUACUUCCAUUUUUGAAAUA